rnacentral:sRNA from 1 species
GGCAUCUGCUGUUAUGACCUGGGCUAAACAACAUUUAGUAGCUUGGAUGAAAAAUUGGUGUUUUUUUAAUCUUCCAAAAAAUUAUUUAGAAGCAGUAGUGUAUAUCUUGAAUCUCAAACAUAGUUUUAGCAUCUUGUGAAUAAUUCUAAAUUCUUAACAAUGUUCAUUUUUUAGGAGCUGUUGGACAAAUAUCUUAUUCCCAAUGCUACACAACCAGAAAGUAAGGUGUUCUACUUGAAAAUGAAAGGAGAUUAUUUUAGGUAUCUUUCUGAAGUGGCAUCUGGAGACAACAAACAAACCACUGUGUCGAACUCCCAGCAGGCUUACCAGGAAGCAUUUGAAAUUAGUAAGAAAGAAAUGCAACCUACACACCCAAUUCGACUUGGUCUGGCACUUAAUUUCUCAGUCUU